CAGAGGGAGUCAUGACCAGGUGGAUGAGAGCUGAGAGGAGUCAGCAAGGCUUAAUGUGAAGCCUGAGUGUUCCAGAAGGUGGAACUAACCCUGGAAGGUUUCAAGCAACUGGACAGACUUUCUGGGCACUUUAUUAUCAGUUUUUAGUUGGCCGUACCAUGUAAGGGAGACGUGUAAAGUGCUAUGGGACAAGCUACAACCCCUUGAUAUGCCAAAACCAACAGCAGCAGACUGGAUACAAAUUGCUGAGGAUUAUUACAUCAAAACAAACUUUUCCAACUGUGUUGACACAUUGGAUGUGAAACGUGUGUGUUGUUAUAUGAUCCAAGAGUGGUUCAAAGUACUGGAACUACAUAAUGUUCUCAGUUGUGCUUUUGGGUUUGGUUGACACCAACUACUGCUUUACCGUGAUAAAUGUGGGGUCAUAUUCAGCGCUCUCCAGGAUCUCCUCCUUGGUGGUUAGUUAAUUAUGUCAUUGCCAUUUGGCAAAGGUUACUAUGGUUCACUUACAUGCCCACUGUGGCAGCUGCCAUUGGGAUAAAAGUUUGUAAAAAGGCUGCGUUAGCUCUGCCACACCCUUCCAAUCUGGACAACAAAAGCUGUCAGCACAGCCUUUAUAUACAACCCCUUCUCUAUUUCCCUCUGCUGGGUGGUGGUAUGAAUUACACUUUUACCCAAUAUUAACAAACUUCUGCCUGUUUUUUUUUUUUAUGAAAAUAAAAUGUUAAAA